rnacentral:rRNA from 1 species
UACGGGAGGCAGCAGUGGGGAAUAUUGCACAAUGGGCGCAAGCCUGAUGCAGCCAUGCCGCGUGUAUGAAAAAGGCCUUCGGGUUGUAAAGUACUUUCAGUCGUGAGGAAGGUGUUAAGGUUAAUAACCUUAGCAAUUGACGUUAGCGACAGAAGAAGCACCGGCUAACUCCGUGCCAGCAGCCGCGGUAAUACGGAGGGUGCGAGCGUUAAUCGGAAUUACUGGGCGUAAAGGGCACGCAGGCGGUUAAUUAAGUUGGAUGUGAAAUCCCCGGGCUUAACCUGGGAAUGGCAUUCAAGCCGGUUAGCUAGAGUCUUGUAGAGGGGGGUAGAAUUCCAUGUGUAGCGGUGAAAUGCGUAGAGAUGUGGAGGAAUACCGGUGGCGAAGGCGGCCCCUGGACAAAGACUGACGCUCAUGUGCGAAAGCGUGGGGAGCAAACAGGGAUUAGAUACC